AGAGUUUGAUCAUGGCUCAGAAUCAACGCUGGCGGCGUGCCUCAGACAUGCAAGUCGAACGCGAAAGUCUCCUUCGGGAGACAAGUAGAGUGGCGCACGGGUGAGUAACACGUAGGUAAUCUACCUUCGGGUGGGGAAUAACCCAGGGAAACUUGGGCUAAUACCGCAUAAUGCAGCGGCACCACAUGGUGACAGUUGUUAAAGCGGGGGAUCUUCGGAUCUCGCGCCUGAAGAGGAGCCUGCGGCAGAUUAGCUAGUUGGUAAGGUAACGGCUUACCAAGGCGACGAUCUGUAGCCGGCCUGAGAGGGCGGUCGGCCACACUGACACUGACAUACGGGUCAGACUCCUACGGGAGGCAGCAGUCGGGAAUUUUGGGCAAUGGGCGAAAGCCUGACCCAGCAACGCCGCGUGAAGGAUGAAAUCCCUCGGGAUGUAAACUUCGCAAGAAUGGGAAGAAUUAGUAGGGGUUAAUACCCUCUAUGAUGACGGUACCAUUUGUAAGCUCCGGCUAACUCCGUGCCAGCAGCCGCGGUAAUACGGGGGGAGCAAGCGUUGUUCGGAUUUACUGGGCGUAAAGGGCGCGUAGGCGGUCAGCACAAGUCAGUUGUGAAAUCUCCGGGCUUAACUCGGAAAGGUCAACUGAUACUGUGCGACUAGAGUGCAGAAGGGGCAACUGGAAUUCUCGGUGUAGCGGUGAAAUGCGUAGAUAUCGAGAGGAACACCUGCGGCGAAGGCGGGUUGCUGGGCUGACACUGACGCUGAUGCGCGAAAGCCAGGGGAGCGAACGGGAUUAGAUACCCUAGUAGUCC
rnacentral:rRNA from 1 species